CCUACGGGAUGCAGCAGUGGGGAAUUUUCCGCAAUGGGCGAAAGCCCGAUCCAGCAAUAUCGCGUGAGUGAAGAAGGGCAAUGCCGCUUGUAAAGCUCUUUCGUCGAGUGCGCGAUCAUGACAGGACUCGAGGAAGAAGCCCCGGCUAACUUCGUGCCAGCAGCCGCGGUAAUACGAAGGGGGCUAGCGUUGCUCGGAAUGACUGGGCGUAAAGGGCGCGUAGGCGGUUUAUGCAGUCAGAUGUGGAGUCCCCGGGCUUAACCUGGGAACUGCAUUUGAGACGCAUAGACUAGAGGUCGAGAGAGGGUUGUGGAAUUCCCAGUGUAGAGGUGAAAUUCGUAGAUAUUGGGAAGAACACCGGUGGCGAAGGCGGCAACCUGGCUCGAUACUGACGCUGAGGCGCGAAAGCGUGGGGAGCAAACAGGAUUAGAUACCCGCGUAGUC
rnacentral:rRNA from 1 species